rnacentral:rRNA from 1 species
GACGAACGCUGGCGGCGUGCUUAACACAUGCAAGUCAGGGGGCGGGGUAACCCGUCACCGGCGAACGGGUGCGGAACACGUGAGCGACCUGCCCUGGUGUGGGGGAUAGCCGGCCCAACGGCCGGGUAAUACCGCAUACGGCGCCCGCUUGGAAGCGGGAGGCGAAACUCGCACGAGGCGCUAGGAGGGGCUCGCGGCCUAUCAGCUAGUUGGUGCGGUAACGGCGCACCAAGGCGAUGACGGGUAGCUGGUCUGAGAGGAUGGCCAGCCACAUUGGGACUGAGAGACGGCCCAGACUCCUACGGGAGGCAGCAGUGGGGAAUAUUGCGCAAUGGGCGAAAGCCUGACGCAGCGACGCCGCGUGGAGGAUGAGGCCCUUCGGGGUGUAAACUCCUGUUGCCCGGGACGAAUGCCCUGCAUCGGCGGGGUUGACGGUACCGGGUGAGGAAGCACCGGCUAACUCUGUG